rnacentral:rRNA from 1 species
CCUACGGGUGGCAGCAGUGAGGAAUAUUGGUCAAUGGACGAGAGUCUGAACCAGCCAAGUAGCGUGAAGGAUGACUGCCCUAUGGGUUGUAAACUUCUUUUAUAUGGGAAUAAAACGUUCCACGUGUGGGAUUUUGUAUGUACCAUAUGAAUAAGGAUCGGCUAACUCCGUGCCAGCAGCCGCGGUAAUACGGAGGAUCCGAGCGUUAUCCGGAUUUAUUGGGUUUAAAGGGAGCGUAGGUGGAUUGUUAAGUCAGUUGUGAAAGUUUGCGGCUCAACCGUAAAAGUGCAGUUGAAACUGGCAGUCUUGAGUACAGUAGAGGUGGGCGGAAUUCGUGGUGUAGCGGUGAAAUGCGUAGAUAUCACGAAGAACUCCGAUUGCGAAGGCAGUUCACUGGACUGCAACUGACACUGAGGCUCGAAAGUGUGGGUAUCAAACAGGAUUAGAUACCCCUGUAGUC